rnacentral:rRNA from 1 species
GGGCUCACACAAGCGGUGGAGGAUGUGGCUUAAUUCGAGGCUACGCGAAGAACCUUAUCCUAGGCUUGACAUGCUCGGAUUAGUCUCUGGAAACAGAGGUGACGCCUUCGGGUGGAACGAGCACAGGUGCUGCAUGGCUGUCGUCAGCUCGUGUCGUGAGAUGUCGGGUUAAGUCCCUUAACGAGCGAAACCCUUGUCGCUAGUUGCCAGCGAAUCAUGUCGGGGACUCUAGCGAGACUGCCGGUGUUAAACCGGAGGAAGGCGGGGAUGACGUCAAGUCCUCAUGGCCUUUAUGCCUAGGGCUGCACACGUCCUACAAUGGCGCGUACAAAGGGAAGCAAACUCGCGAGAGUGAGCAAAUCCCAAAAAGCGCGCCCCAGUUCGGAUUGUAGGCUGCAACCCGCCUACAUGAAGCCGGAAUCGCUAGUAAUCGCGGGUCAGCAUACCGCGGUGAAUGUGUUCCUGAGCCUU